rfam:Candidatus Gracilibacteria bacterium CG2_30_37_12 cg2_3.0_scaffold_27553_c, whole genome shotgun sequence.
GCGGUCGUAGUUCAAUUGGUUAGAGCGCCAGACUGUGAAUCUGGAUGUUGCGAGUUCAAGCCUCGUCGACCGCC